rnacentral:lncRNA from 1 species
CAUAAAGACUGGGAGAGCUGGCCCUUCCCUUGACAGACUGCAGCAUUGGGGAGACCUUGCCUGGGCAGCACAGUAGAGCUGACCCUGGUGGCAAAAAUGCAGGUAAGCAGGACACAAGUACCUGAGAGCAGGAGAGUAGACCUUGCCCCUUAUCAGCUGAAGCAUUGGGUGAGCUAGCUUGAAAAGUGCUGGAAAUCUUGUAUUGGUGUUAUGAGCUCACUAGAACGGGCAAUCUAUCCAACUCAGCUACCUCUCAAUCCCAGAUCUGGGGCUUUUAAUUGGCCCACCCCAACAUCUACUCCAUCUGUUAUUUGCUAGAGCCCAUGAAAGUGUCAGUCCUGCAGAUCCAAAGCUGCAGGACCUUCAUGACAUGGGAUAACAACAGGUUAUCUGAGAGAAGUUCAGAUGAGCAUCCAGUAUAAAUGGUGUUGCAGAAGCCAGAGGCCUCAGACUAGACUAAUGACUUAUUGAAGUGAAAACUUGCAAGUAAAGAUACGUGGCUAAAAAGGAAAUUGAGGAUUAAGCAAUAAUACAGAAGGUGACACAGCACAUCAGUAACCAGUCACACAGUAUGAUACAGUCAAGUGGCAAAGGGAGAAGAGAAAAAGACAAAGAGAAAAUGAAGUCAUCUAACUUUAGGUCUUGAUGAUUGCUAUAUUAAAACACAGUCACCCUCUAUCCCAGAACUUUGACUGAAGCAAUAAUAGUUUGCUUUCUCAAAGACUUCAAUUAUGUGAUUGUUGUUAGGAUUAAAAGAUUGUUCUGGGGUAGAUUGGCCAGUGCCUAGAUCAACAAAAUGAAGUGGAGUAAUUCAUUCAACAAAUAUUUAUGCAACACUUUCUCAACCCCGAAGGGACACAGAAGCAUUUGCACUGAAAGUCUGCUAGAAGAGAGUGACAUUGAACUGAGUUCUUAGUAAUAGCUCAAGGGUGAAAGAGAAAAGAGUUUCCCAAAUAAUAUAUGGAGAUACACAAAGCAGAGAAAAGAAGCAGGAGUUGUGAUAAAAGUUCAUAAAUCCCAUUGUCCUUGCUGGGAUGUAAACAUUGAGUUGUGAGAGGUAUGACCACAGAGUGGCAAGAAUCAAUUGUGAGAGACUUUGCUCCAAAUUGUAAAUCUUGGGUUUUGUCUCCCUACUUUUACAAAGAUGUUAAAAGAGUUCCAACACAGAAAUUGACUGUUUAUUUGGGUAUUUCUGAGGGAUCCUUCCUGGUAGAUGUUGAGAUGCCUUUGAUUGGCUCAAGAAUGGAGAAGGAAGAGCAAUUACAAAAUAAAUAAAAAAGAAAGGACAAAAUAAAUCAUGAGAAAAACUAAGACAAUGGCCUCAGGAACAGACUAGAAAUAAUGGUUAAUUUAUCAAAAUGAUGAUUAUGUGAUAAAUUAAGAAUGUGUGAUGAAUGAUGUAUUGGUACAUUUACUAUAUACUUCUAAGAUUCCUUCUUGCAGUUCAUUUAAUAAGGUAGAAAAUAUGGGCUGAACAUAGAAAUUUGUACAGGAACAUUUUUUUUUCCUUUUUAACACACCAACUAUCAGUUUCCUGCAUGACAAACCUUUUGUGCUAAGCAGGAGACUGAAGGCUGCUAAGUGCUUGGAGGAGCUUCUGUCUACAUAUUUGAUUGGUAGAUGCUUAUGUGAGAUGCCCCAAAAAUCAUGAAAAGCUGUAGAAGAUUCAGAAGGAGACAAAAUAGAAACAGUCAAACAGGAAGAAGACCAAGAGAGUUCUGAACUCAAACCCAAGUGGAUAGGCUCCACACUGAAAAUACAGCAGAAAGGACCAAAAGAUAAAGGCCAGAAAAGGACCUCACAAUUAGAAUCAUCAGAAAUCAUGUUAUAGUGGAUAAAAGAACAAGCAGGAAGCUAAUAUAAAAUAUUAGGAAGAGUCAAAAUUAGGUGGAUUAUUAAUAUUGUGAAGGAAAGCAAGAAGUGUAAACUUGCAGUCACAUGAUGACUUAUAACUGAUCUGAAGUCCAAUUCCAAUGGAUCUAAUGUUCCUCUUCUAGCCUCUGUGGGCUCCUGAUAUACAUUCAUUCAGGCAGGCUCACAUACAAUCACAGAAAUAAAAAGUAAAAAUAAAGACCAAUAAGGACCUACUAGAAACAGUUGCUAAAAUGGGUAAUAUUGAAAGGAAACAUGAAGGAUGUGAGCUGGGGCGUGUAGGGUGGGUAAGGUCUAGGCUUUUAUUAUUCUUGAGUCCAGGGGACACUGCUACAGAAGACCAGGUUAUGCCCACCUUGAGCAAAAGGCUCGUCACUGUCCUGUAUGAGAAGAAUAGUUCAUGACCUGUUUGAAGGACAGCACACUACCAAUCCUCACACGAUUCUGAACAAAGGGUUCUCAAAAAGUUGGGCAUAAGUCACAACACUAUUUUUCCUCAUUUAUAUUUUCUAAUGAUUGGUGAAAGUAAAUAGUGGCGCAUCAAAAUCGGAUCCAUACGCAAAAGCUGCUUUCUUAGAAAAGAGACAGUUUCACAAAGACACUGAUGAAGUUCAGAUGAUUCAAUCACCGAUCUCAACUUUGAAGUGGCAUGCUUCCUCCCCCUGCCUCACUUUGACCAGAAUAUAUCACUGCUGCAAAGCAAUUUGCACUUUGCAGCUUUAAAGAGAGCAGAAAGGACUGGACUUGCCAGAAGGCACUUGAGCAAUUGUCACAGGCAGAUUGUUUAUUCAACCAAGAGGUUUAUUAUUAUUUUCAUAGCAUUCUGCAAAGAUCAAGGGAAGGCGCUAACAGGCUUUGGUAUAUUUUUAAGAUGGAGUUUAAAGAAUGAUAAAGCAAUACAUCAUCAAACUGUUUGACACGUUACAUGUGUGGGCUGCCCACAUAACUCCAAGUAAAGAACGUACUUCAUUGAAAACAAUAAUUAGACGAAUUUCUUUUUUUUUUUCUGUAUCCCUCUCCCCCC